rnacentral:rRNA from 1 species
AUUGGACCUGAUAUCAUGCAAGAUUACCCGCUGAACUUAANCAUAUCAAUAGCNGGAAGGAA